CCGACUGCUCUUCGGGCAGGCGUGUGUACAUGGGAGAGGUGCGCUAUUAAUGGCUCUGGAGCUCCGUCCAACUAUGGCUUAAAGAAAGGAAAUUAGCUCUGGGGGAGCACAGAAGAGUACCAGAUUUCAGACCUUCCUCCCACCCCAAAAAGGAGAAACACCCUGUUAACCUCACUGAUCCCUCAGAAGAUGUGAAUUUGGAGAUAAGAGCAUGUUCUACACUCUUGGACCCGGACAAAUUUGGUCUCGCGUGAUUGGAUCAGA
rnacentral:lncRNA from 13 species